rnacentral:snRNA from 1 species
GUGCUCGCUUUGGCAGCACAUAUACUAAAAUUGGAACGAUACAGAGAUUAGCAUGGCCCCUGUGCAAGGAUGACAUGCAAAUUCAUGAAGCGUUCCAUAUUAAA